CGGACCGGCGCACGGGUGAGUAACACGUAUGCAACCUGGCCGUCACAGGUGGAUAACCGGAAGAAAUUCCGACUAAUACAGCAUAACACUCCUGAGGGACAUCCUUCGGGAGUCAAAGGAGGCAACUCCGGUGACGGAUGGGCAUGCGGCGCAUUAGGUAGUUGGUAGGGUAACGCCUACCAAGCCGACGAUGCGUAGGGGUUCUGAGAGGAAGGUCCCCCACAUUGGAACUGAGACACGGUCCAAACUCCUACGGGAGGCAGCAG
rnacentral:rRNA from 1 species